rnacentral:rRNA from 1 species
UACGGAGGGUGCAAACGUUGCUCGGAAUCAUUGGUCGUAAAGCGCACGUAGGCGGUCCGGCAAGUCGGAUGUGAAAUCCCUCGGCUCAACCGAGGAAGUGCAUUCGAAACUGCCAGACUUGAGUAUGGAAGAGGGUCGUGGAAUUCCCGGUGUAGUGGUGAAAUGCGUAGAUAUCGGGAGGAACACCAGUGGCGAAGGCGACUACCUGGCCUGUUCUUGACGCUGAGGCGCGAAAGCUAGGGGAGCAAACGGG